CAGCCGCCGCGGUAAUACCGGCGGCCCGAGUGGCGGUCACUAUUAUUGGGCUUAAAGCGUCCGUAGCCGGGGUGGGAAGUCCUCCGGGAAAUCUGGCCGCUUAACGGUCAGAAUGCCGGAGGAUACUCCCAGCCUAGGGAGCGGGAGAGGCCAAGGGUAUUCCCGGAGUAGGGGUGAAAUCCUAUAAUCCCGGGAGGACCACCUGUGGCGAAGGCGCUCGGCUGGAACGCGUCCGACGGUGAGGGACGAAGGCCAGGGGAGCAAACCGGAUUAGAUACCCGGGUAGUCCUGGCUGUAAACGAUGCGGACUUUGUGUCGGACAAGCUAUGAGCUUGUCCGGUGCCGGAGGGAAACCGUUAAGUCCGCCGCCUGGGGAGUACGGCCGCAAGGCUGAAACUUAAAGGAAUUGGCGGG
rnacentral:rRNA from 1 species